UUGAACAACUCAAAAUGUGACAUAAAAAUUGAACAAAUAAAAUGUGACAAUCAAGUUAAGCAACUCAAAUGUGACAAAGUUGAACAACUCAAAUGUGACAUACAAGUUUAACUCAAAUAUCACAUAAAAAGUUGAACAACCCAUAUAUGUUACAUAGAGGUUGCCCAACUAAAAUGUCAUACAAGUUGCCCAACUAAGAUGUCAUACA